rnacentral:tRNA from 1 species
GCGGGCGUGGUGGAAUUGGUAGACACAAGGGACUUAAAAUCCCUCGGCUUCGGCCAUGCCGGUUCAAGUCCGGCCGCCCGCACCA